rnacentral:rRNA from 1 species
CCUACGGGCGGCAGCAGUGGGGAAUAUUGGACAAUGGGCGCAAGCCUGACCCAGCAACGCUGCGUGAGGGAAGAAGGCUUUCGGGUUGUAAACUUCUUUUCUCAGGGACGAAAAAAGUGACGGUACCUGAGGAAUAAGCCACGGCUAACUACGUGCCAGCAGCCGCGGUAAUACGUAGGUGGCAAGCGUUAUACGGAUGUACUGGGUGUAAAGGGCGUGUAGGCGGGGAAGGAAGUCAGAUGUGAAAUCCACGGGCUCAACCCGUGAACUGCAUUUGAAACUGUUUCCCUUGAGUGUCGGAGAGGUAAGCGGAAUUCCUGGUGUAGCGGUGAAAUGCGUAGAUAUAAGGAAGAACACCAGUGGCGAAGGCGGAUUACUGGACGAUAACUGACGGUGAGGCGCGAAAGCGUGGGGAGCAAACAGGAUUAGAUACCCUUGUAGUC